GGCGAAGGAUGCAAGCGUUAUCCGGAUUCAUUGGGUUAAAGGGAGCGUAGGCGGCCUUGUAAGUCAGUGGUGAAAUCUCUGGGCUUAACCCAGAAAUUGCCAUUGAUACUGCAGGGCUUGAGUACAGUUGCCGUUGGCGGAAUAUGACAUGUAGUGGUGAAAUACAUAGAGAUGUCAUAGAACACCGAUUGCGAAGGCAGCUAACGAAACUGUAACUGACGCUGAGGCUCGAAAGUGUGGGGAUCAAACAGG
rnacentral:rRNA from 1 species